rnacentral:rRNA from 1 species
UACGGAGGGGACUAGCGUUGUUCGGAAUUACUGGGCGUAAAGCGCGCGUAGGCGGAUUUGUAAGUCGGGGGUGAAAUCCCGGGGCUCAACCUCGGAACUGCCUUCGAUACUGCAAAUCUCGAGUCCGGAAGAGGUGAGUGGAAUUCCUAGUGUAGAGGCGAAAUUCGUAGAUAUUAGGAAGAACACCAGUGGCGAAGGCGGCUCACUGGUCCGGUACUGACGCUGAGGCGCGAAAGCGUGGGGAGCAAACAGG